rnacentral:rRNA from 1 species
UACGUAGGGGGCAAGCGUUGUCCGGAAUCAUUGGGCGUAAAGCGCGUGUAGGCGGCUCGAUAAGUCUGCUGUGAAAGUUCAGGGCUCAACCCUGAAAUGCCGGUGGAAACUGUCGAGCUAGAGUCCGGAAGAGGCGAGUGGAAUUCCUGGUGUAGCGGUGAAAUGCGCAGAUAUCAGGAGGAACACCAUGGCGAAGGCAGCUCGCUGGGACGGUACUGACGCUGAGACGCGAAAGCGUGGGGAGCAAACAGG